AUUUAUAUAGUUUAAAUAAAACAUUACAUUUUCAUUGUAAAAAUAAGUACUACACUUUAUAAAUA
rnacentral:tRNA from 1 species